AGAACAUAUAGUAUCCUUACAGGUAUUUGCAUAUAACAAAAAAGUCAGGAGAAAUGGAAGUUGUAUCAUGCAGUCCAUGUUUCCAUCUUUUUGAUUGGCUGACAUUCUUACUAUCUUGCUCAGACGUCAGGGCUAAACCUAUCAACGCAAAGGUCACAAAAUGGCAGUCCGCACAGAGCAGCUUUUUGAUUGGGCAGAAGUCUAGCUUGAUACGUCAGGGGUAAACCUAUCAACGCAUCGGCUCCACAGCUCCACCAGCUGCACUCGGCUCGGUGUUUUGUCGGCUCGCGCGUACGAGGUGUGUUUUGUCGGCUCCACAGCUCCACCACGCACUGCAAAGCAGGACUAUCAACCAGCCCAGAAAGCCACUUCUGUACAACGACACAGUCCAACAUCACUAACGCAACAAAGCAGCACUACUAGCAGCUGGACUCACCAUGACAAGGACCCUAGCUACAAAAUCAGCCUUUCCAUUUAUUUCCAACAUUCUCAAAUACAUUCUCUGAACUAUAA